rnacentral:rRNA from 1 species
UGCCGCUGGCCAUAUCACCCUGCAACUCACAACUGGCAACCCCCUGGAGCUCAGCAGGUGUGAGCCUGGCCAGUACCUGGAUGGGAGACCUCCUGGGAAAAACUAAGGUGGCUGCUGCAA